UUCGUCCGGACCUCCGAACUAUGAUGCCCGCAAGGGCGAAGGAUUAUGAUGGCUGUCGGUACUGUUAAGUGGUUCAACGAGCAAAAGGGCUUCGGCUUCAUCCAGCCGGAUAACGGCGGCAACGACGUGUUCGUGCACAUCUCCGCCGUCGAGCGCGCCGGUAUGCGCGGUCUCGCCGAAGGCCAGAAGGUCUCCUACGAAAUGGAAACCGACA
rnacentral:misc_RNA from 1 species